CCUACGGGUGGCUGCAGUGGGGAAUAUUGGACAAUGGGGGGAACCCUGAUCCAGCCAUGCCGCGUGUGUGAAGAAGGCCCUCGGGUUGUAAAGCACUUUCAGUGAGGAAGAACGCCUGGUGGUUAAUACCCAUCAGGAAAGACAUCACUCACAGAAGAAGCACCGGCUAACUCCGUGCCAGCAGCCGCGGUAAUACGGAGGGUGCGAGCGUUAAUCGGAAUUACUGGGCGUAAAGCGCGCGUAGGUGGCUUGAUAAGCCGGUUGUGAAAGCCCCGGGCUCAACCUGGGAACGGCAUCCGGAACUGUCAAGCUAGAGUGCAGGAGAGGAAGGUAGAAUUCCCGGUGUAGCGGAGAAAUGCGUAGAGAUCGGGAGGAAUACCAGUGGCGAAGGCGGCCUUCUGGACUGACACUGACACUGAGGUGCGAAAGCGUGGGUAGCAAACAGGAUUAGAUACCCCUGUAGUC
rnacentral:rRNA from 1 species